CAGCGCGGACUUCGGUCUGGCGGCGAGUGGCGGACGGGUGAGUAAUGUAUCGGAACGUACCCAGUAGCGGGGGAUAACUACUCGAAAGAGUAGCUAAUACCGCAUACGCCCUACGGGGGAAAGGGGGGGAUCUUAUGACCUCUCACUAUUGGAGCGGCCGAUAUCGGAUUAGCUAGUUGGUGGGGUAAAGGCCUACCAAGGCGUCGAUCCGUAGCUGGUUUGAGAGGACGACCAGCCACACUGGGACUGAGACACGGCCCAGACUCCUACGGGAGGCAGCAGUGGGGAAUUUUGGACAAUGGGGGCAACCCUGAUCCAGCCAUCCCGCGUGUGCGAUGAAGGCCUUCGGGUUGUAAAGCACUUUUGGCAGGAAAGAAAUUGCAUGGGUUAAUACCCUGUGUAGAUGACGGUACCUGCAGAAUAAGCACCGGCUAACUACGUGCCAGCAGCCGCGGUAAUACGUAGGGUGCAAGCGUUAAUCGGAAUUACUGGGCGUAAAGCGUGCGCAGGCGGUUCGGAAAGAAAGAUGUGAAAUCCCAGGGCUUAACCUUGGAACUGCAUUUUUAACUGUCGAACUAGAGUGCGUCAGAGGGGGGUGGAAUUCCGCGUGUAGCAGUGAAAUGCGUAGAUAUGCGGAGGAACACCGAUGGCGAAGGCAGCCCCCUGGGAUGACACUGACGCUCAUGCACGAAAGCGUGGG
rnacentral:rRNA from 1 species